GGGGCGUCAAAGCCUACCGAAGAAUAUCAAACUCCGAAUGCCGCGUAAUCGAUUAUCGGGAGUCAGACUGCACGAGAUAAGUUGGGCGGUCAAAAGGGAAAGAGCCCAGACCUCAGUUAAGGUCCCCAAGUGCGCGUUAAGUGGAAAAGGAUGUGGGAUUUCGAAGACAACCAGGAUGUUGGCUCAGAAGCAGCCAUCCAUUCAAAGAGUGCGUAAUAGCUCACUGGUCGAGAGGUCCUGCGCCGAAAAUGUCCGGGGCUGAAACGCGCCACCGAAACUAAGGAACCGAAAGGUUGGUAGAGGAGCAUUGCAUGCGGAACGAAGCAGUACCGUAAGGAGCUGUGGACUGCAUGGAAGAGAGAAUGCCGGAAUGAGUAGCGAGAUAGAGGUGGGAAUCCUCUAGGCCGAAUAUCCAAGGUUUCCAGAGUAAAGCUGAUCUGCUCUGGGUAAGUCGGGGCCUAAGGCGAGGACGAGAGUCGUAGCCGAUGGACAACAGGUGGAGAUUCCUGUACUGCGGUAUGACAGAACUGUGGGGACACGUAAGGAAAGCGGAAGCCGGGAAUGGA
rnacentral:rRNA from 1 species